UACGAAGGGGGCGAGCGUUGUUCGGAUUUACUGGGCGUAAGGGCGCGCAGGCGGCUUGUCGCGUCGAAUGUGAAAACCCACGGCUCAACUGUGGGCUUGCAUUCGAUACGGGCAGGCUAGAGUUCGGUAGGGGAGACUGGAAUUCCUGGUGUAGCGGUGAAAUGCGCAGAUAUCAGGAGGAACACCAGUGGCGAAGGCGGCUUUCUGGACGGUAACUGACGCUGAGACGCGAAAGCGUGGGGAGCAAACAGG
rnacentral:rRNA from 1 species